GUAGGUGAACCUGCGGAGGGAUCAUUCACAUGUAUCCAACCUGUAUCAACCAACUGUGAACUGUUUUGCCGUGAGAGGCAAGUGCUGAGAGUGUUAGCUUAGUCACUGAGUGGAAUCAGUGUUUACACUGAUUGAGACUAACUAGCUGUGACCGAUUCUUCGGAAUAUGGUCAGCUCUCCGUUUGCUAAUCCGGCCCUAUCUCUAGUCUAUCAAUGAUUGAUUGAUCCCCAUCUCAAUCGCUCUCAUUUUGAUAGUCUAGGGAGCCCCACAAACCACCUCAGCAUUCUCUGUCCUGAUUAGUACUUUGUGUACUGUUGGUGAUCAGAUGAAUGUCGAACAUUCGAUAACCAAUGAUAGCAUUUUCGGAUGCUUGACUCUGUCUGUCAUUUUCAUGAUAGCUUCACAGUAGUCAUUUUUAACAUAGAGAACAACUCUAUGCCCUGGAUAUCUUGGUUCUC
rnacentral:misc_RNA from 1 species